UGGGGGAAUAUUGCACAAUGGGGGAAACCCUGAUGCAGCGACGCCGCGUGGAGGAAGAAGGUCUUCGGAUUGUAAACUCCUGUUGUUGAGGAAGAUAAUGACGGUACUCAACAAGGAAGUGACGGCUAACUACGUGCCAGCAGCCGCGGUAAAACGUGGGUCACAAGCGUUGUCCGGAAUUACUGGGUGUAAAGGGAGCGCAGGCGGGAAGACAAGUUGGAAGUGAAAUCUAUGGGCUCAACCCAUAAACUGCUUUCAAAACUGUUUUUCUUGAGUAGUGCAGAGGUAGGCGGAAUUCCCGGUGUAGCGGUGGAAU
rnacentral:rRNA from 1 species